CGAGCUUAUUAUGCAAUCAAUUCUUAUGAUUGUGAUCUCGAACGUUUUGGUAAAUGACUAGCUUUCAUAAUUUUAAAGUCCCAUGGAUUAUUAUUUGGUUUCAGAUUAGUUUAAGCAUGAUUUUGUCAAUGUUCAUUGUGGAGGUUAUGUUUGUUUGUUGGGGCACAUUUCGACUUUCGAGAUAUCGAGCCAACAAUAUCGCUCCGUGACGUCACCACUAAAAUGGUCUGUUUCCCUUUCCCCUCUUUCCUCGCUGACCUUUUAUCCCUUCCCGAUUUGCCGGAUCCCCCCCUCCCUACUGUUUGCAUGUUUUAGGUUAUCUGUGUAGUUUAUUUUUGUUGUCUUUUUUUGCGAUUGAUUAUACAGAUUUGUCAUCCGUGCGAGCUGUAAUAUUUCGUUUAUUACAUAAUUGUUAGUGUAAACUUCGAGAUUUUCGCAUCAUGGAAGAUGAUGUGUUUGAAAUUCCUUUAUCUUCAUUAUCUUGCGAAAGACUGGAUGAUGAUCAACACAUUCUAAUAGCAAAUUCUUUAUCCGAUGAAACCUCUGACUUCAUUCGCCCUCAGGAUGAUUUAGUGUCUUCGGAUGAUAUCCUCAGGAAUGGUGUUCUAAUCCAGACCAGCAAAGGAAUAGAGUGGAUUUCAUUAACAGAAGCAUUGACAAGUGGAGUUGGAGAUUUGAACUUAUCUGUUGAAGAUUUCCAUAGUGUAACUUCGCAAUUUUUUGACUCGCAAGACCUAACUGAUCACUCUGAUGAUCAGUUUGAUUUUCACCAUCUUGCAUCGCCAUUGUUGGAAAGUAUCGAGGAAACUUGUGAAAGUUCAACAGGACUAGAAGACGAUGAUCUCACACCAGCAUGUGCUCCAAAGCUUACCCUUUCACCUACUUCACAUUCCCGUCCAAGUACAGCUGACCGAUCUGCCUCGACUGCCACCAAUUCCGAAAGUAACAACAGCGACUCCUCUACCUUUUCUGUUGCCCCCAAUCAGGUGAAAAGGAAAGGUGGUUGGCCAAAAGGUAGAAAACGGAAACCUGAACUCUCAGAAAAUCGGCCGCCAAAGGCUCCAUCCACUGGCUAUGUCCUGUAUUUGAAUGAGAAAGAAAAUUGUUGAAAAACCGACCAUUUCCAGAGGUUACCAAAAUUCUUGGAAACGAAUGGAGUAGAAUGAGUCUUGCAAAGAAGAAAGUAUAUCUAGACAGAGCUGAAAGAGACAAAAUUCGUUACAAAGAGGAGCUCAGGAAGUACCAUAAGUCAGACGCGUACCUCUCAUACUUAAGGAGGAAAAGAAUAAAAAGUAAGAUUUUCCAUUUAAUAAUUGGAAGGAGCACAUCAAUUUAAUGUUGAAAAAAAAGUCAAUCCAUCUGAAAGACAUUUUAGUUGAAUCCAGAGUUCCUGUGUAAUGAGAGUGAAUACAUCUCGGUCCUGAUGUCACAAACAGUCAGAAAAGUUGUAUGGUUUAAUAAUCUUUUUCUUAACAUUUGGACGUUUCCGAAUUUCUUGCCUCUGUCCCCACUCUCAUUUUGUUUGCUCCGAGAUGUACCCUUAUCUCCCCAGUCCAUGAUCUUUGUAAGUGGUGAAACUGCAUUCUUUAUGACCGUUUAAAUGCUAAAAAAGCCUAUAAAACAAGAGUCAACCAGAAGUGGAUUCCUCAUGCCUUAAAUUUCAGUAACAAAGGAUUUUAGGAGAACCCGCACUGGAGGUAAACAACUACCAAACCAUCCAACAAAUAAUGCCAAAACUAUGGUUUAUUUUAAAACUUUAAGCCAGAAACGGAACUAGUAUGUGUCUCCAGGCACAUUUCAGCUGUCUUGUCCCGAAAAAUAUCUUUAAAAUUGUUUUUUCAGCCCUCUUUCCUUACCCUAAUUCAUUUUUCAGUUGAAAGCCUCCGAUGAUGAUAUUUUAGUGAAAAAGCCCCAGGUUGCAUUCACCUCAGGAUAAUAGCUAGUUUUUUCUUGUAUUUUACUUUCAAUUUCUCUGCUAUCCUUAUAAUACUCACACAAAAGAAAACCACUCUAGAGUCAUUCCAUAUAGAACCUACCAGCCAUGCAACCGCCCGACUCGGAUUUUGAUGAUAAAUUUUUUUUCUUGAUCAGACCACCAAAUAAUGAACUUCUGCAAAAUAUUAGGUCUCAUAUCGAAAAACUCACUGAGAUAUGAAUUUUUGAAGUUUUAAGAAUUUUCAAGAAAGACGUUUCGAACUUCCGAGAAAGAGAGGGUAAUUUUCCCCAAAAAAAUUCACCCCGGGCCCAUUUUUCGUCGGAUUGAAGUGAAAAUUUGACACAAUGUCAAUGAAAGUAUGUAAAUUUAAGAAUAAAAUGCAUAACAUGUUCGACUUCACUCAUUGACGUGCUGCGGUUGAUUGUUCGUUGUGAUUUUGUCUGAUUUUAGCGACAAAACCUUCCCCUCUUCAAAUGCUCAUAACUUUUGAGCUGCAAGUUAUUUUUUGCUCCAAUUUUUUUUUAAAAUGCUCCUAAGAGUAUUAGAAAGACGCCGAAAGAACAAUUCUGAUGGUGUUUGGGCUUUAGUAUCUUUCUUUUUCACUUUUGUUCGAAAAAGGCCUCAAAAACUGAAAAUAACACCAAAAUUGUUCCGAUAAUUGACCAUUACCCUGAAAAGUCAACUCAAAAAUCGCUCAAUUUUUGCCUGAAUGGUCCUUACCAUGUGUACAAUAUGUUUGAAAAAUAAAAUCAAUGGUAUUUUGGGUUUAAAUAUCUUUAACUUCGAGUUUUUUUCCGAAAAAAAGGCCAGCAAAACUGAAAAACACUGAAAUUACACCAUUUAGCGGCCCUAACGUUGGAGUAGCAACUCAAAAAUUGCUCACAUUUAUACUGAAUGGUUCUCACUGCAUGUGAAAUGCGUCUGGGGAAUAAAAGUGAUUGUAUGUUGGGUUUCCAUAACCCUUCUCCCAACACUUUUACUCAAGAGAGGCUCGUUUAACUGAAAAAAGCGCCAGGAAAAUCUCAUUAUUCGACCAUUACAUUGAAAAAACAGUUGAUUGGGGGCUCAGAUUUUUCACCAAAGGACUCUUGUUGUAUGGGAAACACACUAACUUGAGGAGUGAAUAUACUGUAUUCUUGGUUGUAGUAGUUUCCCCCUUCUCUCCAAUCUUUACGAUCGGCUUUAAAGUAAGGAAAUAAAACUGGAGGUAUGUCUUAACUGAUGGGCAUCUGUUAUGGAAUAUGAGUAUGUCACGGGUGUUAGACUCAAAUACGGGUUGAAAGUUCGUGAGACCGUUCGGCACCAGUUGAUUUUUAAUAAAAGGUAGAAUCAACAAACUACUAGAAUGGAUUGAGAAUUAUAGACACUGAAUUUUUAGAGAUGAAAUUUAGAGUUGUAUUGAGUCAAAAGAGAGAGCACAGAAUCACAAGAGUUAAACAGUUUAGAAAAUAGUCACUUAGAAAAUGUGCAAAAAGGCGAGAGUGGGCACAAUGUACUUGUACGGGUCUAGAUGGUAGAGAACCUGGGGUCUAAGAGAUGGGAAAAGACAGACAGACCUAGAUUUUGGGGCAGCGCACGCUUAUAUAAGCUUCCUGAAGUCACGGGUGGUGAGACAACAAGCCUACGCAUGAUUGGCUGGCUAUAAUCUAUGUAGCUAUCAGCUGCAAGUUUAGUAUUUAUGGGUGAUUCUUGGUGAUGGCUGGGAGAUAGGGGUGAAAAAGACGAAAGUGGACGAAAUCCAGCCAUCACUAAUGAGUGUUCUAAAAUUAAUAAGAAACAUUCGAAAAUGUAAGGCAAAAAGAUGAGAAGGUGUUGACAGCAUCCGUAUUCACAUUUAAAUGUGAUUUACUGACUCCUGGAUGGCAUCAUAAUGAGGUUAAUAACUUUCAAAUGUAUUCUGAAAUUAAAAAUAAUGGAAAAGAUAAAAAGUGCUAAUAGGAAUUAUCAGCACAUUAAAUUGUUAAAAAUUGAGGGAGGUUAUUCAUGCUGACUAGAGUUGAAGUAUUGUAAUUAUAGUUUUGAAAAA
rnacentral:lncRNA from 1 species